UCAGGAUAAACGCUGGCGGCGUGCCUUAUGCAUGCAAGUCGAACGUCUCGCCUAUGGCGAGUAGUGGCGAACGGGUGAGUAACACGUAAGUAAUCUGCCCUUAAGUAGGGGAUAACUCUAAGAAAUUGGAGCUAAUACCUUAUGUGGUGAUGGAGGUAAAGCUUCAUUACUAAAGCCUUAGGGCGCUUAAGGAGGAGCUUGUGUCCGAUUAGCUAGUUGGUAGGGUAACGGCUUACCAAGGCGACUAUCGGUAGCUGGUUUGAGAGGAUGUCCAGCCACACUGGGAUUGAGAUACGGCCCAGACUCCUACGGGAGGCAGCAGCAAGGAAUAUUGUGCAAUGGGCGGAAGCCUGACACAGCGACGUCGCGUUGGGGAUGAAGGCCUUCGGGUUGUAAACCCCUUUUCUCAGGGAAGAAUAAUGACGGUACCUGAGGAAUAAGCCUCGGCUAACUACGUGCCAGCAGCCGCGGUAAUACGUAGGAGGCUAGCGUUAUCCGGAUUUACUGGGCGUAAAGAGGGCGUAGGCGGCUUUCCAAGUCGGAUGUAAAAUCUCCCGGCUUAACUGGGAGGGAUAAUCCGAUACUGUUGGGCUAGAGGGCAGCAGAGGGAGGUGGAAUUCCCGGUGUAGUGGUGAAAUGCUUAGAUAUCGGGAGGAACACCAGUGGCGAAGGCGACCUCCUGGGCUGCUUCUGACGCUGAGGCCCGAAAGCGUGGGUAGCGAACAGAAUUAGAUACUCUGGUAGUCCACGCUGUAAACGAUGGACACUAGGUAUGGGGAGUAUCGACCCUCUCUGUGCCGAAGCUAACGCAUUAAGUGUCCCGCCUGGGGACUACGGCCGCAAGGCUAAAACUCAAAGGAAUUGACGGGGGCCCGCACAAGCAGCGGAGCGUGUGGUUUAAUUCGAUGCAACGCGAAGAACCUUACCAAGGCUUGACAUGUUGGAAGUAGCAACCCGAAAGGGAAGCCACCUAUUGAGUCAGGAGCCAUCACAGGUGCUGCAUGGCUAUCGUCAGCUCGUGCCGUGAGGUGUUGGGUUAAGUCCCGCAACGAGCGCAACCCUUGUUGCCAGUUAUAUUCUCUGGUGAGACUGCCCCCAAGACGGGGAGGUAGGUGAGGAUGACGUCAAGUCAGCAUGGCCCCUUAUGCCUUGGGCUACACACACGCUUACAAUGGAUGGUACAGAGGGAAGCAAUGGAAGUAAUCCUGAGCCAAUCCCACAAAGCCAUCCUCAGUUCGGAUUGCAGGCUGAAACUCGCCCUACAUGAAGUUGGAGUUGCUAGUAACCGUAGGUCAGCAUACUGCGGUGA
rnacentral:rRNA from 1 species